rnacentral:rRNA from 1 species
AGUGAACGCUGGCGGUAGGCCUAACACAUGCAAGUCGAACGGCAGCACAGUAAGAGCUUGCUCUUACGGGUGGCGAGUGGCGGACGGGUGAGGAAUACAUCGGAAUCUACUUUUUCGUGGGGGAUAACGUAGGGAAACUUACGCUAAUACCGCAUACGACCUACGGGUGAAAGCAGGGGAUCUUCGGACCUUGCGCGAUUGAAUGAGCCGAUGUCGGAUUAGCUAGUUGGCGGGGUAAAGGCCCACCAAGGCGACGAUCCGUAGCUGGUCUGAGAGGAUGAUCAGCCACACUGGAACUGAGACACGGUCCAGACCCCUACGGGAGGCAGCAGUGGGGAAAAUUGGACAAUGGGCGCAAGCCUGAUCCAGCCAUACCGCGUGGGUGAAGAAGGCCUUCGGGUUGUAAAGCCCUUUUGUUGGGAAAGAAAAGCAGCAGGUUAAUACCCCGCUGUUCUGACGGUACCCAAAGAAUAAGCACCGGCUAACUUCGUG